GAUCAAGCUAGAAAGAGCACAGGGUGGAUGCCUUGGCACCAAGAGCCGAAGAAGGACGUGGCAAGCUGCGAAAAGCCAUGAUAAGCUGCAAGCAAGCGUAAUAGUCAUGGAUGUCCGAAUGGGGAAACCCAGUGGAGGCAAUGCUCCACUACCCGCGGAUGAACACAUAGUCCGUGAGGAGGGAACCCGGUGAACUGAAACAUCUAAGUAGCCGGAGGAAAGGAAAGAAACAUCGAUUUCCUAAGUAGCGGCGAGCGAACGGGAAAGAGCCCAAACCGCAAGACUACGGUUUUGCGGGGUUAAGGACCCGCGUAAUCUGGAAAGAACAUAGCCGAAUAGGGUUGGAAAGCCCAACCAAAGGGAGUAAGAGUCUCGUAGGUGAAAUGUUUUGAAGGAGGCGGGGAUCCAGAGUACCACAGGACACGAGGAAUCCGGUGGGAAGUCGGGGGGACCACCCCCCAAGGCUAAAUACUACUUGGUGACCGAUAGCGAAUAGUACCGUGAGGGAAAGGUGAAAAGUACCCCGGGAGGGGAGUGAAAGAGUACCUGAAACCCUGUGUUUACAAGCGGAGGGAGCACGAUCUAGGUGCGACCUCGUACUUUUUGUAGAACGGACCGGCGAGUUACGUUGUGUAGCGAGGUUAAGGCAUAAAGUGCUGGAGCCGAAGGGAAACCGAGUCUUAAUAGGGCGACAAGUUGCAUGACGUAGACCCGAAACCAGGCGACCUAUCCAUGUCCAGGUUGAAGUGGGAGUAAAAUCCCAUGGAGGACCGAACCCACGUCUGUUGAAAAAGGCGGGGAUGAGGUGUGGAUAGCGGAGAAAUUCCAAUCGAGCUUGGAGAUAGCUGGUUCUCCUCGAAAUAGCUUUAGGGCUAGCCUCAUAAAUGAUUACCGGAGGUAGAGCACUGAAUGGGCUAGGGGGCCACAAAGCUUACCGAACCUUAUCAAACUCCGAAUGCCGGAUAAUUGAAUUAUGGGAGUCAGACUGCGGGAGAUAAGUUUCGCAGUCAAAAGGGAAACAGCCCAGACCGUCGGCUAAGGUCCCAAAGUGCAGGUUAAGUGGAAAAGGAUGUGGAAUUGCACAGACAACCAGGAUGUUGGCUCAGAAGCAGCCACGCAUUUAAAGAGUGCGUAAUAGCUCACUGGUCGAGUGGUUCUGCGCCGAAGAUGUAACGGGGCUAAACCUGCCACCGAAGCCACGGAACAGAAAUGUUGGUAGAGGAGCACUGUAUGCGGGCAGAAGCGGUACCGAAAGGAGCCGUGGACUGCAUAGAGGAGAGAAUGCCGGUAUGAGUAGCGAGAGAAUGGUGAGAAUCCAUUCCGUCGAAAGCCUAAGGUUUCCUGAGGAAGGCUCGUCCACUCAGGGUAAGUCGGGGCCUAAGCCGAGGACGGUAGAGUCGUAGGCGAUGGACAACAGGUAGAGAUUCCUGUACCACCGAAGGGUGUUUGACUGAAGCAGUGACACAGAAGGUUGACCGAAGCAGGGUGAUGGACAGCCCUGUCCAAGCACAGAGUCUUUGGCGUAGUGAAGUACGCGCCAAGGGAAGGAUGAUGUGUGAUGGGGACUGAAAUUAGUAAGGAAGUCGGGUAAAUCACGCUGGCGAGAAAAGCUGCUAAGGAAUCCGGAGGUGCCCGUACCGCAAACCGACACAGGUAGGCGAGGAGAGAAUCCUCAGACGAGCGGGAUAACCCUUGUUAAGGAACUCGGCAAAAUGACUCCGUAACUUCGGGAGAAGGAGUGCCUCGAAAGAGGCCGCAGAGAAGAGGCCCAAGCGACUGUUUAGCAAAAACACAGGUCUGUGCGAAGUAGAGAUACGACGUAUACGGGCUGACGCCUGCCCGGUGCUGGAAGGUUAAGGGGAAAUGUUAGGGCAACCGAAGCAUAGAACCGAAGCCCCAGUAAACGGCGGCCGUAACUAUAACGGUCCUAAGGUAGCGAAAUUCCUUGUCGGGUAAGUUCCGACCCGCACGAAUGGCGUAACGAUUUGGGCGCUGUCUCAACAAGGGACCCGGCGAAAUUGUAGUAUGUGUGAAGAUACACAUUACCCGCGAUCGGACGGAAAGACCCCGUAGAGCUUUACUGUAACCUGACAUUGGGUUCGGGUAAUGGAUGUACAGGAUAGGUGGGAGGCAUUGAAACCAGGACGCCAGUCUUGGUGGAGCCGCUGUUGGGAUACCACUCUUCCGUUGCCUGGAUUCUAACGGCUGGCCGUAAGCCGGCAGCUGGACAGUGUCAGGCGGGCAGUUUGACUGGGGCGGUCGCCUCCGAAAGAGUAACGGAGGCGCGCAAAGGUUCCCUCAGAAUGGUUGGAAAUCAUUCGCAGAGUGCAAAGGCAGAAGGGAGCUUGACUGCGAGAGAGACAUCUCGAGCAGGGAGGAAACUCGGGCUUAGUGAUCCGGCGGUAGAGAGUGGAAUUGCCGUCGCUCAACGGAUAAAAGCUACCUCGGGGAUAACAGGCUGAUCUCCCCCAAGAGUCCACAUCGACGGGGAGGUUUGGCACCUCGAUGUCGGCUCGUCGCAUCCUGGGGCUGAAGCAGGUCCCAAGGGUUUGGCUGUUCGCCAAUUAAAGCGGCACGCGAGCUGGGUUCAGAACGUCGCGAGACAGUUCGGUCCCUAUCCGUCGCGGGCGCAGGAUAUUUGAAAGGAUCUGUCCCUAGUACGAGAGGACCGGGAUGGACGCACCUCUGGUGAACCGGUUGUUCCGCCAGGAGCAUAGCCGGGUAGCGAAGUGCGGAAGGGAUAAACGCUGAAGGCAUCUAAGCGUGAAACCCACCUUAAGAUGAGAUAUCCCAUUCCGAAAGGAAGUAAGACCCCUUGAAGACGACAAGGUGAUAGGCCAGGAGUGGAAGUGCAGUAAUGCAUGUAGCGGACUGGUACUAAUAGGUCGAGGGCUUGAUCAAA
rnacentral:rRNA from 1 species